rnacentral:lncRNA from 1 species
AUGUACAACAGAUACCCCAUCCUGUUUGCAGUUACCCAGCUCAAAACCAAAAGCUUCUCGAAGCCCAGCGUGGAGCAGAGGAGCCGAGCCCCCCGCCUCUCACCCAGUGCAGCCUUUCAGCACGUGCCAGUCCUCGAGCCUACGCGCGGUCCUGUUGACACCGCAGCAACUCAGCACCUUGCACAUCUGAACCUUUCAGUCUCACCAUGCAACUGGAAGAAGAUCUCCACUCAGACUCCUUUUACAACCUCCUCUGUCACGUUUGGGUGGUGCAUCACUGUUUGGGACGUGGCCCUGGCAGGGAGCUCAGUGCUUUUCCUUUCCCCACAGAAGGAGUUCCUGUGUGGUGCUGGGAAGAAAUGA